UCCCUCAAUAUCCUCAUCGCAUAAAAGAUAAUUAGUUUUCUUGCUAACAGAUCCAGUAACACGACCCCCAUGUCGUUUAAUCAAAUCCUCAGCUUCUUCUCUUUCUAAACUGUCAAGCGUUCCGCUAAUUACAAAAGUCAAACCAGCUAAACAAUCAGGAGCUCCUUCAGGAACUUCCUUUUCUCCUUUGUGCGGAGGAUCUU
rnacentral:misc_RNA from 1 species